rnacentral:tRNA from 1 species
GGGCCCGUAGCUCAGCCCGGUAGAGCACCUCGUUUGCAACGAGGGGGUCAGCGGUUCGAUCCCGCUCGGGUCCA